rnacentral:rRNA from 1 species
AUUGAACGCUGGCGGCAGGCCUAACACAUGCAAGUCGAACGGUAACAGGAAGAAGCUUGCUUCUUUGCUGACGAGUGGCGGACGGGUGAGUAAUGUCUGGGAAACUACCUGAUGGAGGGGGAUAACUACUGGAAACGGUAGCUAAUACCGCAUAACGUCGCAAAACCAAAGAGGGGGACCUUCGGGCCUCUUGCCAUCGGAUGUGCCCAGAUGGGAUUAGCUAGUAGGUGGGGUAACGGCUCACCUAGGCGACGAUCCCUAGCUGGUCUGAGAGGAUGACCAGCCACACUGGAACUGAGACACGGUCCAGACUCCUACGGGAGGCAGCAGUGGGGAAUAUUGCACAAUGGGCGCAAGCCUGAUGCAGCCAUGCCGCGUGUAUGAAGAAGGCCUUCGGGUUGUAAAGUACUUUCAGCGGGGAGGAAGGGAGUAAAGUUAAUACCUUUGCUCAUUGACGUUACCCGCAGAAGAAGCACCGGCUAACUCCGUG